rnacentral:lncRNA from 1 species
AGAUGGGGAUCUCACUCUGUUGCCCAGGCUGGUCUCAAACUCCUGGCUUCAAGCAAUCCUCCUGCUUCGGCCUCCCAAACUUCUGGGAUUACAGAUAUGAGCCACCACGGCUGGCUGACAGGCACCAAAUUCUAGGAGAGGACUUGAAUAGACUCCCAAGGAGGCAGCAGAAACUGGGGUAAUCACAACGGUCAACAGCAGCAAAGGCAGCACUUUCUGAUUUACUUGACUGCUAUGGAUGCCACCUCUCUCCACGCCUCAGUUUAAUAUCUGACAGGAGGUGUCCUGGUGAUCAGCUGGAGCUCGGGGGAGCUGUUGCUGAAAUUAACUUGAGUGCUUUGGAGAGAGAUUUACAUGGCAGAGUGGAGCCAGGGCUGCUCCUUUGGCAGGCACUGCUGUGCCACUGUGGAGGCGCCCCUGCUUUUCCCAUGCUUUGCAGUGUCUUUAAAGGCCUUUGGAGCCAUGCCCAGGCUCAGCCCCAUCCUGGUGUCCCCCUGUGUCCGUUUUGCCACUGCCCGGCUACUUCACUUGGCCAUGGGCCUUACCAGCUUGCAGACAAACCCGUCCAUCUACGCCUCCCAGCGCAGCUUGGCCCACUUGCAAGCACUUACAGAGGGUUUCAGAAGGAACAUGUCUGCCAUCUGUGUUUGGAGACUGUGUCCCAGACUUUUGAGCUCACAUUAGUCAUGGCCACAGACGGGACUGGAGUCCUGCCCACUGGAGUCCCAAAGGUCUCUGGUGUUUGUUUU